rnacentral:rRNA from 1 species
AUUGAACGCUGGCGGCAGGCUUAACACAUGCAAGUCGAGCGGGGUGAUGGUGCUUGCACUAUCACUUAGCGGCGGACGGGUGAGUAAUGCUUAGGAAUCUGCCUAUUAGUGGGGGACAACAUCUCGAAAGGGAUGCUAAUACCGCAUACGUCCUACGGGAGAAAGCAGGGGAUCACUUGUGACCUUGCGCUAAUAGAUGAGCCUAAGUCGGAUUAGCUAGUUGGUGGGGUAAAGGCCUACCAAGGCGACGAUCUGUAGCGGGUCUGAGAGGAUUAUCCUCCACACUGGGACUGAGACACGGCCCAGACUCCUACGGGAGGCAGCAGUGGGGAAUAUUGGACAAUGGGGGGAACCCUGAUCCAGCCAUGCCGCGUGUGUGAAGAAGGCCUUAUGGUUGUAAAGCACUUUAAGCGAGGAGGAGGCUCUUUUGGUUAAUACCCAAGAUGAGUGGACGUUACUCGCAGAAUAAGCACCGGCUAACUCUGUGCCAGCCGCCGCCGUAA